GGGAAGCAAGGGAGGGCUGUGUAUCGCUGUUUACCCUGAAAUUUUCCUGGUUAGUUCCUUCUCGUGUCUCAACAACAGCAAGUAGGACGUGACGUGAGGAAGCCUAGGUGUUGGUGGCUGUGGCUUUGCAUUGUGACGUUCCCGGGACUGCUUGGCGAGGGGCACAAGAUGGUUUGGUCACAUUAUGAGGAUGGAACGAGAGAGGUACCCCGCAAAAUACUACUUGUGGAAGCCAAGAGGAAAGAGACCAGUGGGCAGACCAAGAAAGAGAUUGCAGGAUGGAGUGAAGGAAGCAGUAGAGGCGAGAGGUACAACCAUGGAGAGAGUGGAAAGAGAAAAACUGUAUGAAGAUCGGACGUGGUGGUGAAGUUUCGUGAGGCAUCACAGCUGACAGGGCAUCAGCCCUACCUGGUGUAUGGUGAAAUGCUUGUUUGUCUCAAAAUGGAGAGAAAUGACGGAAGAAAAGAAAUAAGCAGAAGUGGAAGGAAAAGUGCAGUGCCUGGGUGACAGUUAUCACAUUGACACAGCUCAAGCGGUCUGUAUUGUCACGGCGAGCACCGUCAUCUGCAAGGGAAGGUGCCAGUAACAUAAGAAUAGGUGACAAAGAACUUGAAAGAACAGGUGCCAGUGUAUGUAGUAAGUAUCGGCUAUAACUCUUCUCUCCUUUGGCCUGGACACCUUAGGAAGAAAAUGAUGUCUGGAUUUUCGGCUGCCCCCUACUUGAGAACAGCAAGGAUGUUGAAAUGAUAGUGUCAGCACAUGUGAGUUUCUGGCAGGUCAGAAAUCCACCCAAGUGCUGUGCAAGCUCAGCCAUUGAGUGCACUAGGACGAUCCCAUACCCUGCAAGAAGGUUUAGAUGUUGGCUGCAAUCUUUUGCCGCCAGAAGAGAGGGAAGUUACUGCGUUGGUGGGUAAUGGAACUGACAAGGAAUAAAACAUUUCAAAAGGUACUGUUGUGGGCUCCUGUGAGAUGAAUGAGUGCACAGCAGCAAGCAUUAAGCAGUGGGGGCAGUGUACUGGUAACGAACAGUGUGCUGACUCAUCGACAAGGCUUGUUGGGCAUGUGUAUGAGGAAGCUCUCCAUGUGGAAUUGCCAUACUUCUAUGCAGAUGUGUUUCUCAUGAGACUUUCUAGACUGAACUCCACUAGUGAAACAACUCAGACACUGGCAGUAGCCAACCCAUGGAUGAAGCAGCCACCAGGGAAAAUUGGCUCCACUAUGCAGCAGGAAAUGGAGAUACUGGUGAGUGAUAGAGCUCAUUGCCCUGAAUAUUGUUGAGUCCCAGAACCCAGGUCUUUUGCAGUGUCUCUGAUGAAAAAACAAAAAUAAUACAACUAUUGUGUGUUUACUACAAAACCCUGCCUGCCUAAUGGUAAGUGAUUUAAUGAUUCGUAUUCCCAUGUAUCACAUUUCCCUCUCUUACUCACCUUCCCUCCC